rnacentral:rRNA from 1 species
AUGGCUCCUACCGAGGCUGAGGCUGAUGUAGAGGAGGGAGAAGAGAAGAAGAAGAGGGAAAGGAAAGCAGCUGGAGCUGCUUUCACGUGGAUUCAAAAUAACUUUGCGACGUGCCCUCCGGAUGCCACUGAUGAUGUGAUCCAGACACAUGCUCGUGUGUAUAUGUGGUACGUUGUGUCGAGGACUUUGUUUCCUGACUCCACUGGCAAGAACGCUCCAUGGAUGUGGCUGAAGGCGUUGACCGUCUUUGAUAGCAAAUGGAGCUGGGGUUCAGCGACUCUUGCCUACUUGUACCGACAGGUAGUUGGUCUGUUUUGUGAUCAACUCAUUUCUUCAUUAGCAAUGCAAGCUUGCUGUCAAGUUAACAUUGUUUUUUUCUUUCAUAUGUAG